rnacentral:rRNA from 1 species
UACGGAGGGUGCAAACGUUGCUCGGAAUCAUUGGGCGUAAAGCGCACGUAGGCGGCCUGAUAAGUCGGAUGUGAAAGCCCUGGGCUCAACCCAGGAAGUGCAUUCGAAACUGCCAGGCUUGAAUAUGGAAGAGGGUCGCGGAAUUCCCGGUGUAGAGGUGAAAUUCGUAGAUAUCGGGAGGAACACCAGUGGCGAAGGCGGCGACCUGGGCCAAUAUUGACGCUGAGGAGCGAAAGCGUGGGGAGCGAACAGG